rnacentral:rRNA from 1 species
GAUGAACGCUGGCGGCGUGCCUAAUACAUGCAAGUCGAGCGAACAGACGAGGAGCUUGCUCCUCUGACGUUAGCGGCGGACGGGUGAGUAACACGUGGAUAACCUACCUAUAAGACUGGGAUAACUUCGGGAAACCGGAGCUAAUACCGGAUAAUAUAUUGAACCGCAUGGUUCAAUAGUGAAAGACGGUUUUGCUGUCACUUAUAGAUGGAUCCGCGCCGCAUUAGCUAGUUGUUAAGGUAACGGCUUACCAAGGCAACGAUGCGUAGCCGACCUGAGAGGGUGAUCGGCCACACUGGAACUGAGACACGGUCCAGACUCCUACGGGAGGCAGCAGUAGGGAAUCUUCCGCAAUGGGCGAAAGCCUAACGGAGCAACGCCGCGUGAGUGAUGAAGGUAUUCGGAUAGUAAAACUCUGUUAUUAGGGAAGAACAAAUGUGUAAGUAACUAUGCACGUCUUGACGGUACCUAAUCAGAAAGCCACGGCUAACUACGUG